rnacentral:rRNA from 1 species
AUUGAACGCUGGCGGCAGGCCUAACACAUGCAAGUCGAGCGGAUGAAGAGAGCUUGCUCUCUGAUUUAGCGGCGGACGGGCGAGUAAUGCCUAGGAAUCUGCCUGGUAGUGGGGGAUAACGUCCGGAAACGGGCGCUAAUACCGCAUACGUCCUACGGGAGAAAGCAGGGGACCUUCGGGCCUUGCGCUAUCAGAUGAGCCUAGGUCGGAUUAGCUAGCUGGUGAGGUAAUGGCUCACCAAGGCUACGAUCCGUAACUGGUCUGAGAGGAUGAUCAGUCACACUGGAACUGAGACACGGUCCGGACUCCUACGGGAGGCAGCAGUGGGGAAUAUUGGACAAUGGGCGAAAGCCUGAUCCAGCCAUGCCGCGUGUGUGAAGAAGGUCUUCGGAUUGUAAAGCACUUUAAGUUGGGAGGAAGGGCAGUAAGUUAAUACCUUGCUGUUUUGACGUUACCGACAGAAUAAGCACCGGCUAACUUCGUGCCAGCCGCCGCAGUAAUAC